GUGCCCGUAACUCAGUGGUAGAGUGUGAGAUUGCAAUUACUGAUCGCAACUCUCACGUACUUGCAUUAUCUUGAAGCCCCGUGUUCGACCCACGGCGGGCACU